rnacentral:rRNA from 1 species
GUAAGAAAGUCGUCUCAAACACGCCCAACAACAAGGACUACCUUUUCGACAUCUACGUUACCAAGGUAUUUGACACUUUUCCUGAAGGUGAGGGGAGUUACCCUGCCUUGUACUCUAUGCACGUGAAGGUUAAAACGUCAAAUGACAAAUGGACCAACAUUGUUUUACGUAAGUGCGAUUCAAAAAAAAAACAUGAAAAGUACGAUUGAAUUUUUUUUGUCAUCAAUUGGUUUCAACUAACUUGUACUCCUUACUUCACUCUAACUCUUUAGAUUUCCGAUUCUUGACCAUCCCUCACUAAUCAAUCAUCAUGGACGUGAGUAACCGAAGCAUUUAAUUAAGUUACGGUUCUUCCGUACCCGGUACGAUAAAACUAAAGAAACAUCGCAGUAGUGUAAUGUUAUAAUAAAGACAGGAACAUAGUAACAAAAACCUUAAAAUACAUAACACCAUAGCAGUGCAGGUAUACUACAUGGGUCCGUUGUAUCAAAGAACUGCUCAUUUGAUAUUCAAUGGCCUUAAAACACAAACUACAUACAGGUCACAGUUGUAUCCUAAGAAUACAGUGUUUUUACACAAAGACUUUAUUAAUGGUCUAAAACUAGCAUUUGAAACAAUGAUGUGGUGAAUAGUAUAUAUGGUACUAAUGAUACCAGUAAAGGUUAGUCAAAAACUAGAGGUUAAACGGUUUUCCACUUUAAGAUUAAACAACAAUUGUUACCAGACUACACAAAGUAGAACGAUGAAAACAAAUCUAAUACCGAAACAAAAUUCGAUGUGACAGCACCAAGAUCAUUUUAUAAUAGUCGAGGAAAAGAAGACAACUAACCACAAGUAAUAGAGUUACGUCCAUUUGUAUCUACUCCCCCUUUCGAAGUAGGAGACAGAAGAGGGGGAGUGAUAAACGGACGACUCUUGCGACCUCCCGUAAGAAAUGGUUUAUUCGACGCAUCAGAUAGUAGACUUCCCAAACAAGUUGACAAUAGCCGAUAAAAAUCCUAUCAAGACCAUGUAGACGACGUUCGUCGACUUCAAUUUUUUUAUCAAGUCACCUAGUGCUCUUUGGAACUACCCUUGUACUCAAGACUACUGUGUUUAGGACAGUAUGUUGUACCACCUAGUCAACUGAAAAGGGUUCCCUUACUGUUGCCACAAUGAAGUGCCCAGAGGUUAUGACAAUGUACGUCAGAUGAUUCGAAGGUAACAAAAUUCCUUUUCGUUGACUAUACAGGUCAUGUUUAAGUUAUUUUUUUACGAGCUCGACUAUACAACUCUCUUUCGUAUCUUCGUCAAAAACGACGUACACUACGACGUGUAGCUGUUACCCGAUUCGACUAUCCACAAGCACGACGAGAUGUAGGGUUCAACUCCUAAUGCCUCAAGGACUAGUAGGUAUUAUGUAGGAGACAAAGAUUUAAUUCUACAGGGCGACCAAGGUAAAUUAGAUAGUUUUGCGGAAUAUAAAUCCUUGCCUUCAUCAUAUUUUCUUCUUAGAUAUCGACCAUGUCUUUUCCAAUAAUUAAAAGACAAAUUUAUUAUACGUGUCUGUGUAUAAUCAAAAUAUUUUCGUUCAAUACUAUAAUAGAAUUGGAGAACGGGAGUAUCUAACCUCCGUCCAAUCCAAUGUUGUAAGCACCUGAUAGUCGUAUCACAAGUCCACCAAUAUAUAACAAAAUAACUUCAAAUACUUUCAAAUUAGGUGUCAGAAUGUUAGCCUAGUACCUUGUUUCAACCUUCGAACAAAAUUUAAAACAAUAAUGUUCGUCGUCGAAUAUCUUAUUCACGUCGUAGUAAAACGGUCUUUGUACUUACUCAUUACUACGAUAAAGACCUCAUAUUUCGGGAGUCCGAAGAGGGAGUUAAUAUAUCGGAAUACCUACAUGUGGUUGAAGUAAUGUCACGUCAAUGAAAGAAGACAAAACGUUCGUUAUAAUGGGUCUGUCAUCACGAUAGGUGGUAGUUAGUUUCUUGAACUCCUACUUUACUAUCACCUUAAUUCCUAUAUUUCCCAAUCCUUCAGAGACUAGCAGUAUUAAUGAACUUAAUAGAAGUUUUUCAAAAUACAAUCCCAAACAAUUUAGCUUAAGACUAUAACUAAAAUCUCUAUAGUUAGAAUAAAACAUCGACUUAGGGCUAAAUAUGUCAAAAACACGAGAAUUGUAAAUUAUAAGGAAACUUCUACUGUUUUUGAUACCGUCAAGAACUGGUUCUCUGCACCCAACGACAACUGUAAGGACUUCUUAAGGUUCACUAACAAAACAGUGACGGUAGUUGACUCCAAGAACAAUUACUACAACUCUACGGAUCGUGACCAUUGUUGAGUUUCGAGUCACUCCUACCUCAAAAAUGUUCAGUUCUCAGCGUAUAAGUUGACUUUCAUUACAACUUUUAUUGUCACCUUGUAGAUACUCCAUAAACAUGGUACACGGAGACUAACUUCUGUACCAGUCUAGAUACCAGUACGGAACUUGAGUAGUCACUUCGUGGGAACGAGUACGGAACUUGAGUAGUCACUUCGUGGGAACAACUUUUAUGAAAGGUACCUCUAUUGUCCUUUUAGCCCUAGUAUGAAAUACCUACACCUAAAAACCCCGUUACUACUACAAAAAGGUGACCCGAAUAAGACGCUCCUUACUACUGUAUAAACAAAACAGAUCGUAUUUUGGACUUCGACGUCUCCUGAAUUUGGCGGUACCACACUGUAUAAUAACAAACCGUUAUCAGUGACUCCAAAGAUACCAACUACUUAUGGUCUUACCGAAGUAUCAGUUUCAACGUUUCUUAUAACUAGACCUGCUUCUGAAUUUGUUUGAGCUUGUACGUUAUAAAGAGUUAUAGUAUUAUUUGCAUGCCUAUACCUUUCGUGAAUGGACGUUUUGUGUGUACUUACUGUUAAAGUGUGAUUAGUUCAGGGAGAAUCGGGGGUGUUUAGACCCACUCCUACGAACACCAUAGACACAAUUUGUCCUACCUCAGACAAACCGAAGAAAGCGUCUCUGUAGGCCUUUAAUAACCCGCUCCUACGAUAACUUAGACAGUAGAGUCGACAUUCUACACCCGCACACUUCACAUAUACCCCAGGUGGUCCAUACGUUUCUUCGACCUAAGCACUGUUCAAAUAAACUCUCUAACCAAUACGAGUUUAAACUAUUUGUAAACAACUUAUAUGUCAUAGUGUACUUAGGAAGAUAGUCGAAUAAAGGUUCACGAUACUCUCCUUCUAAAAUCUACCAAGGUAACAGUACAGAGGAUCAACACUAUUUCUAAUGUGUACGGAGGGAAAACAGUCGAUGUGCAAAGAUUUACAGUGACUACCUUCUCUUCUGUUUCUCCCGUGUCCUUCGUCAGCGUCUUUGUACCAACUUCAACGACAACAAACGUUGAUUAGGUAAGGUAGAAAUUUACAACCUAUUCCUGUCUGGAUUCCCGAGUCGUAUCAGGCGCCAGAGAGGUAUAUAACGAGUUCAACUACAUUAAUUUUCAACUGGACGGUUUUUUAUACUGUGUAUACUACCGAAAGUACACGCCCACUUCAGGUAACUACUAAAGGUUCCUCUUCUACUAUGUAGUUAUGAUAGUUGACAAUUCUCUCCUCAACAUCCUAAAGAACGACUAUUGGUUUCUUGUUUACAACGAGAAUGAUCUCGUUCCGCACGUAGUUAAAUAAGCCCUGGGGAACAAAAUAACGACGAGUUUCAUACAGACUGGCUAAGAUGUUUAAUAGUCUCUCUACAUUUACACAAAAGUCACGGUGAUUACUACGUUGGUAGACAUUCAACCAAGACGUUCAUUUCGUUCUCGAACUACUUGAACUGCUAGAAGAAUUACGACUAAGUCACCCAAAGUCGGUAUGGUCUACCUUCAAUAAGUCACUCCCUGUUAAGCUCUACCGAUGGUACACGAAGUUCUUCCGACCACUACGUGUGUCUCUUCACGUGUUCUCGACGGCCUGAAGAUCGGUGACGACUGGCACAGUAGAGUUGUUUAAACCUCGACUCGUUCCGAAGUAACGUUUGUUGUAGUCUCUAACUGUCUCAGGUACUUUCGACGAUUAACGAUAUAGUUUAAUCCACUGAUGUUUUCUCGUCCAUACCAGAUAUACGUUUUUACACCAUGAAGGUCAAGAUCUGAACUCCUACGACUACUAAUAAAACGAUAGCGACUUACGACCAGCCUCCGUCGCCUUCACAAGAAGUUUCGAUUUACAAUGUGGUUCACAAAGAGGUACACGAGCUUUCCUUUUGUUAAUACGUUAGACCUCCUCCUUGUAAGCGAAGUCUUAAGUUUUAGGAACUCCAAAGACGUUAAUCUUGUUUGAUAGACCUAUUAAUACGAGUUCUAAUAAAACUCGCACAGCAGUAUUUCGUAUCCUACCGAAAACAAUUUCGAAAGUCGAGAUACCUAGUACAUGCCUUUAAGGAUUUAAGAUGCUUAGAACAACUACUGACAGCUCAAAUCUCUACCUUUACACAUUAAAGGAUCUUCGACGUCCCUAUCGUUUCGUAUUUCCUCGACAGAAUGACCUCCAUCUGUACGAGCUCUUCCGUCUAAACAAACUCCUACGUUGUCCCGCAGAGGUAUAGUAACACCUAAGAGACACCAGAAGUUUACCAUCUCCAACCGGAGGGUUUUCUAUACGUCUUUUCACUGUCAACGAACGUUUUCGGUAUCUCUACCGCUUUUUCCAGAGACUCAAAGAUGACAGAACAAAACGCACCUUCGACUACGUGACAGUCUACACCUAUUCAGAGAUGAGUCAAAUUUAGCGUGUAACCAACUCCCGUCUUUACAGGUUUGAUAACCAACUUGAACAACGAAGACCAAACUAAGAACUACAAGUAGAAGUCAGAGCUCGGAGACCUAUGUUAUAUCUUAAUCCCGGUCCUAGACUUAUACUUUUGUCAUCAUUUCUAUACGACGGAGAUUGGUCUACAGUGGGGUUUGAGACAAAAUACAAACCUUAGUGACCUUCAGCUAGUAUUAGUUUUAUGACAGAGUAGAAGCGGUGUGGCUACCAGGUUUUAAUUUACUAAUACGUCAAUACAUACUUCUAGAAACGCGGUUCAUGAAACCUAACUCUUUUCUACCACUUCAGAGAGUUUCUUUAGUCAGUAGUGUGUACUUCAGAGAGUUUUUACCGUAGUUUACGUGUUGACUUGGAACUUGUCUUUUAAAGUUGACUUGUUACCGUGGUCAUGUUUUAUAUUGGAACUUAUUUUUUUACUGGAACUUCAAGUAAAAAAUUUAAAACUGAUUUGUUCGUUUAACUUCAUGAUACUAGUCAAGUCGUGUUGUGCCAGGGUAGGAUAGAGGCAAAUAACACGGGCGAGGAAGCCGAAAGAAGACGUAUCAGGACACUAAAGAAGAGGUGAGCUGGACCUCUCUUAUAGAACACAGCAGGAGAAGGAGUGAAGUACGAUUGAGCCGAGGGGUAGCUACGCGACUCGGUAGUAUAACCUUACUCGUCUUCUAGGGUACGAAGUACGACUGGAUGCCCUUUACCUAGUUAGACAGUUUGCUCUAUACAUACUCCUCUAUCUAUUCUAUCUAUCAACGUACCCAUCAAAUUUAAGACAUAAGCCAACACUGAUACGAAGAAUAGAGGAUAUGAAGAAGAGGGAGUUCAAUACAUAGAGGUCGUCUUAACAUGCGCAUAGUCCCUGAGCGUUAGGGGAUAUAUUGUGCAUGGUGUAGGGGG